rnacentral:rRNA from 1 species
AGUCGAGCGCCCCGCAAGGGGAGCGGCAGACGGGUGAGUAACGCGUGGGAAUCUACCGUACCCUACGGAAUAACGCAUGGAAACGUGUGCUAAUACCGUAUACGCCCUUAGGGGGAAAGAUUUAUCGGGGUAUGAUGAGCCCGCGUUGGAUUAGCUAGUUGGUGGGGUAAAGGCCUACCAAGGCGACGAUCCAUAGCUGGUCUGAGAGGAUGAUCAGCCACAUUGGGACUGAGACACGGCCCAAACUCCUACGGGAGGCAGCAGUGGGGAAUAUUGGACAAUGGGCGCAAGCCUGAUCCAGCCAUGCCGCGUGAGUGAUGAAGGCCUUAGGGUUGUAAAGCUCUUUCACCGAUGAAGAUAAUGACGGUAGUCGGAGAAGAAGCCCCGGCUAACUUCGUGC